CCUUUAACACCGGGGAUGAACAACUUUUGUCACGUGACCACAAAAGUCAACGCAGGUUGUUGAAUUACAUCAGGAAUCCCGCUCCGUCAGGGACCACGAAUUUGACAUUCCAAAACGGAAGGAACCUAAACGAAAAUUUGACACCGUGUCAACAAGCAGAAACGCUCUCCAGAAGGGAACGUUGGGUGUCCGAUGGGAGAGGGCAAGACGAAAUGACAGCAAAAUGCUUCUAACAUCAAAAAUGGGAAUUGAACUUGACCCGUAAAAGGAAAUCAUAAUAUCAUACGACAGUUUGUAGUUCUUUAAAAGACAGCUGUCAUUUUUGAUAUUCGUUAACCAACGUUACCUAUAUUGAUUCCGUGUAAUGCUACUGAAUUUGAUUUUGUGUUGCUCUUUCUAUGUUUAUGCAUUGAGGAGCUACCAAUAUUGGGGCCGUAUAAUAUGCUGCCUAUAUUGACGCUGUGGGAUGCUUCAUUUAACGAGGCCUACCGGUAUAUUCAACCUUUUUGGGGGAUUUGAAACAACAACAGACAUAUUGGAUCUAACUUUAUUUUGUUUGCUGUUAUUUGUUUCAAGUUUUAAAAUUACAGUUUCUAAAAAAUGCCAUGUAUCUUGUAUCUUGUUAAUUAAAAAAAAGGUAUCUUUCUUUUAGUUGCAUAAUGAUAAAUAAUGUGGACCUAUAAGGAGAGAGGUAUCAUGAAGCAAAUAAAACAAUCGAUUCCUCUUA